UCUCUGGAGGACUAGUGGUUAGGCCACAACGUUUUCAUCACUGUGGCCCGGGUUUGACUCCUGGCCAGGGAA